rnacentral:rRNA from 1 species
CCUGACGCAGCGACGCCGCGUGGGAGAUGACGGCCUUCGGGUUGUAAGCCUCUUUCAGUAGGGAAGAAGCGAAAGUGACGGUACCUGCAGAAGAAGCGCCGGCUAACUACGUGCCAGCAGCCGCGGUAAUACGUAGGGCGCAAGCGUUGUCCGGAAUUAUUGGGCGUAAAGAGCUUGUAGGUGGCUUGUCGCGUCUGCCGUGAAAACCCGAGGCUCAACCUCGGGCGUGCGGUGGGUACGGGCAGGCUAGAGUGUGGUAGGGGAGACUGGAACUCCUGGUGUAGCGGUGAUAUGCGCAGAUAUCAGGAAGAACACCGAUGGCGAAGGCAGGUCUCUGGGCCAUUACUGACGCUGAGAAGCGAAAGCAUGGGGAGCGAACAGGAUUAGAUACCCUGGUAGUCCAUGCCGUAAACGUUGGGCACUAGGUGUGGGGAACAUUCCACGUUUUCCGCGCCGUAGCUAACGCAUUAAGUGCCCCGCCUGGGGAGUACGGCCGCAAGGCUAAAACUCAAAUGAAUUGACGG